UUCUUAAAUUAGUAUAGCAUUUUACAAUUGGAGAUGUCUAGUACUGGGAGCAUCCAGUAACUCAGAGCUCUGACUGAAUCAGCAUUCCAAACAGUGUUCUUAUUGGACUUAUGUAGGGAGAGGUUUGCUGUUUGUUUUUUAAUCUGAGAGUGCCCAGGCUAAACCAGAACUUGCUAGAGUCAGAUCAACCAGGGAACAGAACGCAGAGAUUCACAUUGGCGUUGCACACCCAAGGUGGUGUCCUCAUGGUUCCUCACAGAUAACACUUCCGCCGGGGAGAGUCCUGGGUGAUAAAGAACACGGAGCAUGUUCAUGGUCUCUGUAUUAAAGGCAGUUCGUGCUUUCCUGGAGAAAAGGAAGGGGUCAUCGUGAUGCAGGCGCUGGUACCUUGUCCUGGCUCCGACUGCUGAUGCUGUGUGACCAGCCGGCCUCCUGCUUCUCUCUCCAUGACUGUCCCUCCAGAAUGUCUCUCUAUUUUGUCCCUCCAGAACAGCAAGUCAUCAUAAAGACUUCUUCCUUGUCUUAGUUGCUUCUCUGUAGCUGUGAUAAAACACCACGACCAGGCCACUUGCAAAACAAACAUUUAAUUGGGGACUCCCAGUUCCAGGGGAUUAGAGGUCAUGACCAUCAUGACGGGGAGCAUGGCAGCAGUCAGGCCAGUAUGGCAUUCGAACAGUAGCUGAGAGUUCACAUCUGACCCACAAGUACAAGACACAGAGAAAGAGAUGAUUGAGAAUGGUGUGGGCUUUUGAAAUCCCAAAGCCCACCCCCAGUGACACACCUCCUCCAACAAAGCCACACCUCUUAAUCCUUUCCAAAUAGUUCUACCAACCAGGGACCAAUAAUUCAAACAUUUGACAGACCAUUCUCAUUUGAACCACAGCACUCCUCUAAGCUGUUGAUUUUUUUGGUACAAAAACAAUCAAAAUUUAUUUACCAUUCACUGUUAAGGGCUCAAGCAGACUUAAUAAAAACAAAAAUACAGUUCAAGAUACAGAGUCAAAUAUAUAAACCAAGGGAAGGAAUGACCAUCUAAGCAAAAAAUAAAAUGAUGACACAGAAGAGAAGCUGGACAGCUUGGGCCAGGGCUCUUAACUGGAGAUGUGCUUUGAGUAGAUUUCUUGCAGGUACUUCCUACAAGCCACAGGGUUUCCUUAGCAGAACGUAUGUACAAGGGGCUAUCAUAGUAAGGUUCUCUUUAGUAUGCUCUGGAUAGAGAACAAGAUGGUCCUGACAUCGUACAGAUCAGACCACUUAUCUCUGAAGAUGACGGGCAGAUGUUACCCUGAGUUUCCAAAGUGGAGUUGUUGCAGGUGUGAGGAACUUGACUGUGGAUACAUGGUAAGGGUAGCCACUGGGGGACUCUAGGGAGAGUUUAUUCCUCAGAUCUUCAUUCAUUAUGUCAGCAUCUUCACAGACGGUCCCUAUUCAUUUGGAAAGAUUAUCUGAUUGGUUCCUGCAGCCUGUAGUCCGCAGGGGUUGGGAAGUGCUCCAGCUGGGCUCCUGUGCAGAUGUGGCAACAGCUGGGUCAUCAUUUGAGAAGUCCAUCUCCUGGUGCUAGCAGGAGGCUCCCUUAAGUUGCUUUUUAUUAGGAUAUUUCUGUCACAGAAAAAAAAAAAAAAAGACACGAAAGCACCACAGAUCACAGAGAUAUUUCUGCCUCCUAAAGGACAAUCUCACAUUGGUUUUUACUGCAAGAAUAUGGUGUGGUGGGGUGAACUCUCUACUGAUUGGUUUUCCCCCCCCACUGCUAGGAUACAGGCUAUGUUAUCAAUUUUAUCCCCCUUCACUCUUGUGCCGCCAAAUUGAUUGAUAGUGAACAUGACAAAUAAUCCUCUUAUGCUUUACCCCCCCAAAAAAAAUCAUUUUGUCAUUAUAGAUCCCGUGAGAACACUUUAGAGAUGAACUUGGGAAGGAAUACAUUGGAAAAGGGGAGAAACAAAUGAUUUGGCCAGCCUCUGACCUGGGAAGUGGAUUCAAAGGCUUUAAAGCGCCCAUUUCUGUGUUCUCCUGGGUGGCCCGCUCUUGUCUUUAGAGGGACCUGUAGCUGAACCAUGGGAACUAUUCACUCACAGCAGUGCUGUAUGGAAAUGCAACUGCACUAGUAACUGUAUGGCUGGGUGGAGGGAUCGUGGAGCUGAGCCCAUCAUGACACUCCAGAUCGCCACCAAGAGUGUCAGAGACUGUCCCUGAGAAUAUCUUGAGUGCAACACGAGCACAGGUCUCACUGGGGUCUUUGAAUAAGGCAGAGCUGACUUCUUGGUUCAGGCAGUCUUAACUCAAAGAAUUAAGGUCCCAGAAACUCAACAUCCACCCAUGCCACUCUGAGCCAGUGGAUCAUGCCACUCUGAGCCACUGGAUCAUGCCACUCUGAGCCACUGGAUCAUGUCACUCUGAGCCAACAGAUCAUGUCACUCUGAGCCAGUGGAUCAUGUCACUCUGAGCCAGUGGAUCCCGGAUUCCUUGCAAAGAAUGACAAGCAAGGAGAGUAGAUGAAAAGCUAGCAAGUCUUUAUUGAAGUAGAGGAGCAGCUUCCUAUAAGGGAGAGAACUCAAAGGUGACUUGCCAAUUUGGCCUUGGCUGGACCCCCUUUUAGGCCCAGCAAUCAAACCUGAUUGGGUCGGCCUGAGAGGCUUCUGUCUAUCUGGAGAGAAUGGAUGUGGGGGAGUCUGGUGGGGGGAUAGAGUAGAAGAGAGAGAGCAGGCUCCGGAAAAAUCUGCCCGUGGGAGGCCGGCUGGAGGGAGAAGUUUCAAGGGGAGGUAUGGGGGAACAGAGGUGGGGGUGGUGAGAUGAGGGAGGGAGUUAGGGAGGAGGCAAGUGGCUUAAGAACCAGAACAUGAGGAAGGCAAGGGCUGGUGGGCAGCCAUUGUCAGAACAAACGCCAGUCAGUGGUCAGUCACAAUCUUAAUAAAUUGGGCCUUUUAAACUCGCAGCUUCCAAGUUAAAGCUACAGAGAAUGAACUAUUUUUUUUGUCGCACAGAAGCUCAGACCAGUACUCAAGAGCCCAGUUCAGCACUGUGGGCAGGAGAACAGCCUCUGAGUCACCCCUACAGCUCUUGAGCUAAUUUCACAGAUUGUGGGGGGAGGGGCGAGGGGUCCAGUUUCCGCAUUCACUGUCUGUAUUGAGUUCAUGGGGAACUGCUAGUCUGCAGAUGACUCCUUCUGAGAUAAGUUCACCAGCCCUGCCCACUUUGUAAAGGAUUUUCUGCAGAAGCGUCUUAACCUUAUGUAGCUGGGGGGUUGGGGUGGGGAGAAAAAGAAAAGAAAGAAAGAAAAGAAGAGAAAAGUAACUGUCCUACCCUUCUCUCUGUCACAGAGGCAAGUGGGACUACCUAACUGCCAAACCAGUAAAGGUUAAUUCAAAACAGCUGGCUCUGCGUAAAAUACUAACCCCAGAAACCUGAGGUCACCACUGGCAUCAGUUUUGUACCAACCACAACCCUU